AUAUCAGAAGGCACACCCGGAGAACUGAAACAUCUUAGUACCCGGAGGAAGAAAAAGAAAAUUCGAUUCCCUUAGUAGCGGCGAGCGAAACGGGAAGAGCCCAAACCAACAAGCUUGCUUGUUGGGGUUGUAGGACACUCUAUACGGAGUUACAAAGGACGACAUUAGACGAAUCAUCUGGAAAGAUGAAUCAAAGAAGGUAAUAAUCCUGUAGUCGAAAAUGUUGUCUCUCUUGAGUGGAUCCUGAGUACGACGGAACACGUGAAAUUCCGUCGGAAUCUGGGAGGACCAUCUCCUAAGGCUAAAUACUCUCUAGUGACCGAUAGUGAACCAGUACCGUGAGGGAAAGGUGAAAAGCACCCCGGAAGGGGAGUGAAAUAGAACCUGAAACCGUGUGCUUACAAGUAGUCAGAGCCCGUUAAUGGGUGAUGGCGUGCCUUUUGUAGAAUGAACCGGCGAGUUACGAUUUGAUGCAAGGUUAAGCAGUAAAUGUGGAGCCGUAGCGAAAGCGAGUCUGAAUAGGGCGUUUAGUAUUUGGUCGUAGACCCGAAACCAGGUGAUCUACCCUUGGUCAGGUUGAAGUUCAGGUAACACUGAAUGGAGGACCGAACCGACUUACGUUGAAAAGUGAGCGGAUGAACUGAGGGUAGCGGAGAAAUUCCAAUCGAACCUGGAGAUAGCUGGUUCUCUCCGAAAUAGCUUUAGGGCUAGCCUCAAGUGAUGAUUAUUGGAGGUAGAGCACUGUUUGGACGAGGGGCCCCUCUCGGGUUACCGAAUUCAGACAAACUCCGAAUGCCAAUUAAUUUAACUUGGGAGUCAGAACAUGGGUGAUAAGGUCCGUGUUCGAAAGGGAAACAGCCCAGACCACCAGCUAAGGUCCCAAAAUAUAUGUUAAGUGGAAAAGGAUGUGGCGUUGCCCAGACAACUAGGAUGUUGGCUUAGAAGCAGCCAUCAUUUAAAGAGUGCGUAAUAGCUCACUAGUCGAGUGACACUGCGCCGAAAAUGUACCGGGGCUAAACAUAUUACCGAAGCUGUGGAUUGUCCUUUGGACAAUGGUAGGAGAGCGUUCUAAGGGCGUUGAAGCAUGAUCGUAAGGACAUGUGGAGCGCUUAGAAGUGAGAAUGCCGGUGUGAGUAGCGAAAGACGGGUGAGAAUCCCGUCCACCGAUUGACUAAGGUUUCCAGAGGAAGGCUCGUCCGCUCUGGGUUAGUCGGGUCCUAAGCUGAGGCCGACAGGCGUAGGCGAUGGAUAACAGGUUGAUAUUCCUGUACCACCUAUAAUCGUUUUAAUCGAUGGGGGGACGCAGUAGGAUAGGCGAAGCGUGCGAUUGGAUUGCACGUCUAAGCAGUAAGGCUGAGUAUUAGGCAAAUCCGGUACUCGUUAAGGCUGAGCUGUGAUGGGGAGAAGACAUUGAGUCUUCGAGUCGUUGAUUUCACACUGCCGAGAAAAGCCUCUAGAUAGAAAAUAGGUGCCCGUACCGCAAACCGACACAGGUAGUCAAGAUGAGAAUUCUAAGGUGAGCGAGCGAACUCUCGUUAAGGAACUCGGCAAAAUGACCCCGUAACUUCGGGAGAAGGGGUGCUCUUUAGGGUUAACGCCCAGAAGAGCCGCAGUGAAUAGGCCCAAGCGACUGUUUAUCAAAAACACAGGUCUCUGCUAAACCGUAAGGUGAUGUAUAGGGGCUGACGCCUGCCCGGUGCUGGAAGGUUAAGAGGAGUGGUUAGCUUCUGCGAAGCUACGAAUCGAAGCCCCAGUAAACGGCGGCCGUAACUAUAACGGUCCUAAGGUAGCGAAAUUCCUUGUCGGGUAAGUUCCGACCCGCACGAAAGGCGUAACGAUUUGGGCACUGUCUCAACGAGAGACUCGGUGAAAUCAUAGUACCUGUGAAGAUGCAGGUUACCCGCGACAGGACGGAAAGACCCCGUGGAGCUUUACUGUAGCCUGAUAUUGAAAUUCGGCACAGCUUGUACAGGAUAGGUAGGAGCCUUUGAAACGUGAGCGCUAGCUUACGUGGAGGCGCUGGUGGGAUACUACCCUAGCUGUGUUGGCUUUCUAACCCGCACCACUUAUCGUGGUGGGAGACAGUGUCAGGCGGGCAGUUUGACUGGGGCGGUCGCCUCCUAAAAGGUAACGGAGGCGCUCAAAGGUUCCCUCAGAAUGGUUGGAAAUCAUUCAUAGAGUGUAAAGGCAUAAGGGAGCUUGACUGCGAGACCUACAAGUCGAGCAGGGUCGAAAGACGGACUUAGUGAUCCGGUGGUUCCGCAUGGAAGGGCCAUCGCUCAACGGAUAAAAGCUACCCCGGGGAUAACAGGCUUAUCUCCCCCAAGAGUUCACAUCGACGGGGAGGUUUGGCACCUCGAUGUCGGCUCAUCGCAUCCUGGGGCUGUAGUCGGUCCCAAGGGUUGGGCUGUUCGCCCAUUAAAGCGGUACGCGAGCUGGGUUCAGAACGUCGUGAGACAGUUCGGUCCCUAUCCGUCGUGGGCGUAGGAAAUUUGAGAGGAGCUGUCCUUAGUACGAGAGGACCGGGAUGGACAUACCUCUGGUGUACCAGUUGUCGUGCCAACGGCAUAGCUGGGUAGCUAUGUGUGGACGGGAUAAGUGCUGAAAGCAUCUAAGCAUGAAGCCCCCCUCAAGAUGAGAUUUCCCAACUUCGGUUAUAAGAUCCCUCAAAGAUGAUGAGGUUAAUAGGUUCGAGGUGGAAGCAUGGUGACAUGUGGAGCUGACGAAUACUAAUCGAUCGAAGACUUAAUCAA
rnacentral:rRNA from 1 species